AGCAGCCGCGGUAAUUCCAGCUCCAAUAGCGUAUAUUAAAGUUGUUGCAGUUAAAAAGCUCGUAGUUGAAUUUCGGGAUCAAUACGUCGGUCGUGCUUCGGUACGUACUAACGUCAUUGAUUUCUCCCUUCUGACGAAUCGUGAUGUCAUUAAUUUGGUGUUACGGGGAGUUAGGACUGUUACUUUGAAAAAUUAAGAGCGUUUAAAGUCAAGACAAUCGCUCGAAUACAUUAGCAUGGAAUAAAUGAAAUAGGACGUUCGAACCUAUUUUGUUGGUUUCUAGGAUCGACGUAAUGAUUAAUAGGAUAGUUAGGGGGCAUUAGUAUUCAAUUGUCAGAGGUGAAAUU
rnacentral:rRNA from 1 species